rnacentral:tRNA from 1 species
UGCGCACGUAGCUCAGUGGAUAGAGCACGAGCCUUCUAAGCUUGGGGUCGGGGGUUCGAAUCCUCCCGUGCGCGA